rnacentral:rRNA from 1 species
UACGUAGGGCGCGAGCGUUGUCCGGAAUUAUUGGGCGUAAAGAGCUCGUAGGCGGCUUGUUGCGUCUGCUGUGAAAUCCCGGGGCUUAACCCCGGGCGUGCAGUGGAUACGGGCAGGCUGGAGGCAGGCAGGGGAGAAUGGUAAUUCCCGGUGUAGCGGUGAAAUGCGCAGAUAGUCGGGAGGAACACCGGUGGCGAAGGCGGUUCUCUGGGCCUGUUCUGACGCUGAGGAGCGAAAGCGUGGGGAGCGAACAGG